CUCAGGUACAAAGCCGAGAAGUGUGAAGUAACGUUUCUGAACGAGUUGAUUGGACAAAUGAACAAUUUCACUCAUACCCCAGUGACUCCCUUAAAAUCUGAUAACUUUUUUUGAAAAAAAGACUAACGAUUGGACUUUGGUCCCGUUUUGUAUUGUUAAUGUUUGACCUCUAAGGAUCCGACAGGCUGUAAGAAAUCUGAAUAAUUUCUUGCCGUGCUACGACUUUUGUUUCGUGGCCAUUUGAAGAAUUCUCUGAGUGAAAAUGAACACUUUGGCAAUGCGCAGUGGUUGCUUUAUAGCAAGGUGGACAUCUAAUAAAGCAACAACACUGUACCACUACUCACGGAAAAUUGGGGAGACAGCUGUAGUUUAUCGGGAUGGGGAGAAAGGUGCCCCGGAUGCUUAAACGCCCCUGCAUUUCUCCUUAAUCUGACCACACCUUCUCUCAAAGGAAUGUGCUUCACUUGUGAAUGUGGUCACUUGAUACACUGCUACUCAGUUCUGCAGUUUGACUAGUGAAAACUGAUUAGUUGGGCUCGGAUUUCCCUAAAAAAAAAUCACUGGGGUUUUGAACAGCCGGAAGUCUUUCAUGGAGUUGUGACACAGCCUCGCUUGGAUUCCGUGAUUUAAUUUGUUUUCAACACGAAAAAAUGUUUGUUAUUAGUUGGUUAUUGGAUAGUUGAAAUCACCAAUAUUUCCAACCAAACUUUCUUGUGAAAUUCCUAUUUGAUAUAAUUUUGAAGUUUUUUUUUUGCUCUCUUGUCAAACUCAUUACUGAAGACUACCCUGUCCAAAACGAAUCCCUUGAUGUUCCGGCCUCCGAGUGCCGCAGUGAUUCCACUCAUUUGCUGAUGUGCACUUUCCUGAUCCUAAUCUCGACCUCGUGGUAGAAGAGUGCAACUGCAGGCAAGGAUGCCCGGAGGCAUGGUAACAUUGGGGAAACCGAGCAAAGGCUGUGACAACAGAUGAAUGGGCACCACACAACAAUCAACAGACAGGAGGGUUCCCUCCCAGUUGGGGAACACUUCAGUGGUCCAGGACAUUCAGCCUCGGACCUUCGGGUGACUAUCCUCCAAGGUGGACUUCGGGACAGGCAGCAGAGAAAAGUGGCUGAGCAGAGGCUGAUAGCUAAGUUCAGUACCCAUAGGGAGGUCUGCAACCAGGACCUUGGGUUCAUGUCGCAAUACAGGUGACCACCAUUGCACUAUACACACACACAGAUACUCCUACACACAGGCACUCCUAUACACAUAUACACACGGACACACAUACACCCAGACGCGCACACAGACACCCACACACACCCUUGCAGACACACACACUCCCACAAUCUCACAUGGACCCCCUCACAGACUUAAGACACUCUGCACUCACUACACACACACGCAUACACUUUCUCACACUCACAACCCCCAACCCAGACAGACAGACAGACACACAGACAAAGACCCACAUGUGCACAUAUAUUUUGUGUGGUGAAUUUUUAUUGCAGAGUUACAUUGCACUUUGCUCAAAAACUGCAUGCAUUCAUGUUGAACUCUGAGCUCAAAAACUGCAUGAAUUUAUGUAGAACUCCAUUAUCUCACUUUUUAGAUUAGAAUCAAUCUAAACAUCAUGGCAUAGACAGAGAACACAGGGGGCUAACACCUUCAACAUAUUGUCUAGCUAUCACCAUUGUUAACAGCUUAAAAAGAAGUUUUUGUCAUUUACACAUGAAAGAAGUGAAACUAUCACUGUAUAGUAACAGAUGAAAGGCUUAACAGACAAUCAAUUUUCCAAUGUAUAAUUUCAGUUACAUCACACUGUAAAUUUUUGCUAUAAAUUCUGUGUGUUAGGAUUGAGCCCUCCACUAUCACCUGAUGAAGGAGCAUCGCUCUGAAAGCUAGUGUGCUUCCAAUUAAACCUGUUGGACUAUAA